UACGUAGGUGACAAGCGUUGUCCGGAUUUACUGGGCGUAAAGGGCUCGUAGGCGGCCAACUAAGUCGGAUGUGAAAUCCCCAGGCUCAACCUGGGAACUGCAUCCGAUACUGGAUGGCUUGAAUUCGGGAGAGGGAUGCAGAAUUCCAGGUGUAGCGGUGAAAUGCGUAGAUAUCUGGAGGAAUACCGGUGGCGAAGGCGGCAUCCUGGACCGACAUUGACGCUGAGGAGCGAAAGCCAGGGGAGCAAACGGG
rnacentral:rRNA from 1 species